CCCGGCCCCGUCCACCCCACCCUUGGCACCCGUCGGCCUCGUGCGGGGCCUUUCCUUUGGGCGGGUUUAAAUCAAAACAAGCGGCCGAGCUUCGGGGGGCGAACGAGGCCGCUCGGCGUCGGCGGUACCUGCUCCGUUCCCGCUGUCUUCCUCUCGCCUUGGAUGCGUGACAAGAGCCAACUCGCCUCUGGUGGGCUCUGGGAGCCGCGGGGCUGUAACCCUUUGCAGGAAGUUGGCACGGCUCCCAGGAAGAAAAAUGGGAAGAGAACAGCUCCAAGCCAGCAAGACAAUGCAUGGGGGACAGGAGAUUUGCACAGCUCUAGGGAUCCAUCUCUCCUGCCCCAUUUCGGAACCCCACGCCUCAUCCAUGCGGUGCUCCUGAACGAUUCCAGUCCGCAGUCCGGAGUCCCUCCGAGCUGCCAAGAGCAUCGCAACAGGAAAGAAAGAAAGAGCGAGAGGGAGAGCGAGGCAGAGUCCUCACAAUCGAGCAGCGAGAAGAGCAAGGAGAAAUUAACAUCCAAUUAGCGCCGUGUUUAACGAGGGAGACAGAGGCGGCUGUUGUUUUAUUGCCCUGUUCUUUUCAGGCACAUCUGACAGGCAGCGGGGAAGGCACCCCAGCUCGAAGUGACGUCAUCAUAUUUUAUUUUUUUUUUAUAUCUUUUCUAUUUUUUCCUUUUCCCCCCGUCUUUCCUCCUUCCAAGUUGCCAGGCGAGGUCUCGGCAACCGCGGCCAGGGCGACGCGGGGCUUCGAGCCGACGGCUCCGGCCUCCAUCCAUCCAUCCAUCCCCCCUCCCCAGCAGCGGCCCUGCAAAACAAACACCAACCCCGGCCCGAAGUCUUUGUUCUUCCAAACAAUUAAAAAGAAAAAAAAAAAAAAAGAAGGAAAAAAAUAAACAUUCAGGUCAA